GUGUGAUGUGACGUAGUGGAAG
rnacentral:miRNA from 1 species